rnacentral:rRNA from 1 species
UCGAAGGUAGCAUAAUCAGUAGUCUUUUAAUUGAAGGCUGGUAUGAAUGGUUGGACGAAAUAUUAACUGUUUCAUAAUAAUUUAUAAUAAAAUUUUAUUUUUUAGUUAAAAAGCUAAAAUUUAUUUAAAAGACGAGAAGACCCUAUAAAUCUUUAUAUAAUUGUUAAUUAUAUUUUUUUAGAUUUAUUUUGUUAUAAUUAGUAAUUAUAUUUUAUUGGGGUGAUAUUAAAAUUUAAAGAACUUUUAAUUUUAAAAAUCAUUAAUUUAUGAAUAAUUGAUCCGUUAAUAGCGAUUAAAAAUUUAAGUUACUUUAGGGAUAACAGCGUAAUUUUUUUGGAGAGUUCAUAUUGAUAAAAAAGAUUGCGACCUC